rnacentral:hammerhead_ribozyme from 1 species
AUUCAGAUGACGAGUCUCGAAUAGAAUGAAAUGCUCAUCCUGGAU